CCUACGGGACGCACCAGUAGGGAAUCUUCGGCAAUGGACGAAAGUCUGACCGAGCAACGCCGCGUGAGUGAAGAAGGUUUUCGGAUCGUAAAACUCUGUUGGUAGAGAAGAACGUUGGUGAGAGUGGAAAGCUCAUCAAGUGACGGUAACUACCCAGAAAGGGACGACUAACUACGUGCCAGCAGCCGCGGUGAUACGUAGGUCCCGAGCGUUGUCCGGAUUUAUUGGGCGUAAAGCGAGCGCAGGUGGUUUAUUAAGUCUGGUGUAAAAGGCAGUGGCUCAACCAUUGUAUGCAUUGGAAACUGGUAGACUUGAGUGCAGGAGAGGAGAGUGGAAUUCCAUGUGUAGCGGUGAAAUGCGUAGAUAUAUGGAGGAACACCGGUGGCGAAAGCGGCUCUCUGGCCUGUAACUGACACUGAGGCUCGAAAGCGUGGGGAGCAAACAGGCUUAGAUACCCGGGUAGUC
rnacentral:rRNA from 1 species